ensembl:lncRNA
UGACGGCCCAGGACAGCUUGAGAAACAGAUGUAAAAAUUCCCGCGUCCAGCCCAAGAGUGGCCGUGGGCUCCUCCUGCCUCGCUCAGAGUCAGAAUCAAAUAAGGUGGUGAAGGUCCGAGCGGCCAUUUGACCUGCAGCUAUUCUGAAGAUCACAUAAGGAAGUUCUGGGAGCCAGAUCCACGGGACCUGGCAUGAAAUGGGAGGCGUUGUGCCUGCCUGGCAUACCGUACUUCUAAGAUGCAUUUCAAAGAUGAAGAAGCAUCUUUUGUGCUCUCUGACAGCCAAGGAUCCUUAAGAUUGAAAGUGAAGGAGUCAAGAGGGCAGACCCAUCUCAGAGAUCAAGUGAAAUAGACAAGUGAAGAAAUAUGGAGCCAGAACAGGGCUCCGGGUAUGGCUUGCUUUCCCACAGAUGAUGAUCGGGAGUUGAACACCCCCACACCCUCAGGUCAGUGCCAGCUUGUGGAAAGCUGGGCAGCGAGAGAAGCCUUCCAGCCUCUACCUUGGAUCCAUGCUUGGAAUCUGGAAGAAUCCUACUGGACACCUGGGAUGAUCUUUCAUGAAUCUCUCUCAUAAUUUUUGUCUUAUUUUCUUUAAUAUUUUAUACAUACAGAAAUAUGUGUAACAUAUGUGUUAGUUAUAAGCAUAAUUAAAAAAUGGAAAUCUGUAAGUCUACCAGCCCAUCCGAGGAUGAACGUGUCUCCAGGAACACUGCAUGAGCUUAGCGGUUUGCUCCACUUCUCCCGGAAGUAACCAAGAUCCUGGGUUUUGUGCUCCUCAUGAAUCCCCUUGCUAAGAUAAAACCAAAGCAAAACAAAACAAAAAUAUUAUAGUCUGUAUUUAGAUAUUUUGCUUUAAAAUUUGCCUCGUGGUUCUUGUCUUCCCUUUUAAGAGCUUUGUCAAAAUGGGAGUAUGUGUACAGCUUUUCAGAACUUGCAUUUCUUUACCUAACAUUGUGUUUCAAAGAUCUGCUGGUGUUGCGUGUGGCUGUAGUUUAUUCACUUACUGUUGCAUGACAUUCCUUCCUGGGAAUAUAUCACAAUACAUUGUAUUACCUGUC